UAGGGAAUCUUCCGCAAUGGACGCAAGUCUGACGGAGCAACGCCGCGUGAGUGAAGAAGGAUUUCGGUUCGUAAAACUCUGUUGUUAGAGAAGAACAGCGCAUAGAGUAACUGUUAUGCGUGUGACGGUAUCUAACCAGAAAGCCACGGCUAACUACGUGCCAGCAGCCGCGGUAAUACGUAGGUGGCAAGCGUUGUCCGGAUUUAUUGGGCGUAAAGCGAGCGCAGGCGGUCAAUUAAGUCUGAUGUGAAAGCCCCCGGCUCAACCGGGGAGGGUCAUUGGAAACUGGUUGACUUGAGUGCAGAAGAGGAGAGCGGAAUUCCAUGUGUAGCGGUGAAAUGCGUAGAUAUAUGGAGGAACACCAGUGGCGAAGGCGACUCUCUGGUCUGUAACUGACGCUGAGGCUCGAAAGCGUGGGUAGCAAACAGG
rnacentral:rRNA from 1 species